GCUCGCUUUGGCAGAAUACAUGAUAAAUUGGAACUAUCCGGAGAAGACUUGCAUGGCCCGUGAGAAAGGAUUACACAUAAAUCUGUGAAGUGUUCCAUAUUUUU
ensembl:snRNA U6 U6 spliceosomal RNA